rnacentral:rRNA from 1 species
UACGUAGGGUGCAAGCGUUGUCCGGAAUUACUGGGCGUAAAGGGCGCGUAGGCGGACAUUUAAGUCAGAGGUGAAAGCCCAGGGCUCAACCUUGGAAUUGCCUUUGAUACUGGAUGUCUUGAGUUCGGGAGAGGUGAGUGGAAUGCCGAGUGUAGAUGUGAAAUUCGUAGAUAUUCGGCGGAACACCAGUGGCGAAGGCGACUCACUGGCCCGAUACUGACGCUGAGGCGCGAAAGCGUGGGGAGCAAACAGG